CCUACGGGAGGCAGCAGUAAGGAAUAUUGGUCAAUGGACGCAAGUCUGAACCAGCCAUGCCGCGUGAAGGAUGAAGGCCCUCUGGGUUGUAAACUUCUUUUAUAGGGGAAGAAACCCAUCUUUUCUAAGGUGGUUGACGGUACCCUAGGAAUAAGCACCGGCUAACUCCGUGCCAGCAGCCGCGGUAAUACGGAGGGUGCAAGCGUUAUCCGGAUUCACUGGGUUUAAAGGGUGCGUAGGUGGGUCUGUAAGUCAGUGGUGAAAUCUCCGAGCUUAACUCGGAAACUGCCAUUGAUACUAUAGAUCUUGAAUUUUCUGGAGGUUAGCGGAAUAUGUCAUGUAGCGGUGAAAUGCUUAGAUAUGACAUAGAACACCAAUUGCGAAGGCAGCUGGCUACAGGAAUAUUGACACUGAGGCACGAAAGCGUGGGGAUCAAACAGGAUUAGAUACCCUGGUAGUCCACGCCCUAAACGAUGGAUACUCGACAUUUGUGAUACACAAUAAGUGUNUGAGNGAAGANAUAAGUAUACCACCGCGGAGACGAACCGACGAGUUAGAACGUACGAAAGAAAGUAGAGGCGNGAGAGNGCGACGGACGACGACGAGGGAGGAGG
rnacentral:rRNA from 1 species